UAUGGAUAUGGAUUGCAGAAUUGUUAACAAAUAAUACACAACGAUUCCAAAUAAUAAAACGUAGCUAAAUAUAAUUCACCGGUGAAAAGAAGUCACGAGGGACGGUACAGAAACAAGAAGGACCUUUCGUCUAUCCCCACUCUAAUACCACCCGCUACAUAGUAAUAGAAGAGUUAUAAUUUGAACAGUGAGAAUUAUUUAUAAAGUUACGUUAGGAUAAUGAUCUAAGAUUGGAAGCUAAAAUAUUUUCGAAAUUAUUACUUAUUUUUAGCUUAUAUACUUACAAUUAUUAUUUUAACUAUUCGAAUACGAGAUUAUAUUUUUAAAUUAAAUUAUUGUUACAAAUCGUAAUUAGCCUACACAUAUCGAUGAAAAAUAAGAGGUUAGAAUUCUGCGCCGAUGCAUCGAAAAAUUAUAUACAGAUUAUCAAAAUGAACAAAAUCACCACAUGUAUUUUGAUAUGAUCCGAAAAAUCAAUGGAUUCCUCAAAUACAUAUACCUAUCUAACUAACAUCGUUAUAAUCAUUAACCAGGGAUCUAAUCAGUUUAAAUUGCCAUAAGAACAAAAUGAAUGGAAAGUUCGUGAACAUGAUUCGAAUUCAUACAAUUUCCAGAAGAAUAAUUUUGCAACAGUGAUAUUGAUGUUCAGUAUGUUCUAUAUCCAGUUCGCAACUAAGACCAAUCAAUUCAUAAAUAAAACGAAAGGUUGCUCGUUACUUUAGAAAAAUGCAAAACCGAUAAAAACUCUGGAUCGAUUUACCGAUAGAAAAUUUUUCGAAAUAAGAGAAUUUCGAUUGGAAAUUUUGAUCAAAGGGUAGUGCGCUCGAGUAGAAUCGUGGAAUUAUUAAACUUGAACACAAUACCGCUUGGACAUUGCUCAAAGACGAAAGAAAACGGACGAUGAAAAAUUCAUACAUUUUGCCACGGUGUACAAAGGGCACUCGAACAAUUUUCACCAUUUCUCGCAUGCAAAUCCGAUUUCACGAAUUCAAACCUGGUUUUCUGACGCUUCUGGUGGCAACUAUGCGGUUGAAAUUACUAUAAAGAGCACCGUUUUAACUCGAUUAAUUCAAUGUUUUGAAAAGUAAUCCGAUUGAUAAUUGAUUGAUUGAAACUUGUGCAGGUUUGCAGCAGAAAUAAUUUGAUGUAUUCUUAUUAGAAUAGAUAUAUGAUCAUUAUUCGUAUUUUUGCUUAAAAAAAAAAAAACUCUUGAAUUUCUGAUGUGAUAUCGUUUUAUAUAAUUAAUGAAAAAAAAUGAAUAAAAUAAAAAAUAUGCAAAGAGUGUCUAAAUGUAAUUUUGUGAAAUUUAUAUCUCGAAGUAUAAAUUUAAAUAUUAUCUUGUGAAAUAAGUGAUACAAUUUUUUUUUUAACAAUUAUUAAAGAUGUUAGAAACUUGGCAACUUGUAGAAACAGAUAAUCAGUUCGCAUAUAUGACUAGAUCAUUUCGAGUUAUUGUCUCGUAUUCCGUGCAAUUACCUUAUCAACCAUUAAAGUUUCAAGAGUCGUACGAAAUGUAGUUACGAUUUUUAUUUUUAACGGCGUCGUAAAUUUUUUUACAGGGAUAAUAAAUUUCCAUCCAUGUCGUUAGGGCAACUCUACCAUAAACUAUCCUGUUCAACUUGCAAC